UGUGUACUCCCUCCGUCCGGAAAUACUUGUCAUCAAAAUGAAUAAAAGGGGAUGUAUCUAGAUGUAUUUUAGUUCUAGAUACAUCUUGUUCUAUCCAUUUUGAUGACAAGUAUUUUCGGACGGAGGGAGUACGUU
rfam:Triticum aestivum genome assembly, contig: Triticum_aestivum_CS42_TGACv1_scaffold_249750_3DL